ACGGCUAUACACUUUGAAACACUGAUUCUUGUACGAUCACCGAAGUUAAGCUACGUCGAAACUGGUCAGUAACUAGAUGGGUGACCGCUUGGGAAUACCAGAUGCUGUG